UUUCACUCCUCAUCACUAGGUGGGAUGUAAAUCAAAUUGCCCUGUAGACUAUCUUCGUUUCACCUGCCAUUGUAUCACCAGUAUUCUUUGCAAUUGGUUGUAUAUGUACUUUUGGGAGAAACAUAUAAGGUAUUUUCCCUUGGAUAUUAACUUGCAUAUCUGAAGAAAUGGCAUUCCGGACAAUUUGCGUGUUGGUUGGAGUAUUUAUUUGUUCUAUCUGUGUGAAAGGAUCUUCCCAGCCCCAAGCAAGAGUUUAUUUAACAUUUGAUGAGCCUACCUUGUACAAUGCUGUGUGCUACAUCUGUGGGUACAAAAAGAAGUGUGGCGUGAAUUUGGUCCUCAGCAACCACCUACUCUAAACUUCGAGAAACCAAGACCUCUGAAUACUUCAGCCUUUCCCACCAUCCUUUAGACUACAGGAUUUUAUUAAUGGAUGAAGAUCAGGACCGGAUAUAUGUGGGAAGCAAAGAUCACAUUCUUUCCCUGAAUAUUAACAAUAUAAGUCAAGAAGCUUUGAGUGUUUUCUGGCCAGCAUCUACAAUCAAAGUUGAAGAAUGCAAAAUGGCUGGCAAAGAUC
rnacentral:lncRNA from 1 species